GCCCCACGUUGGCGGUAGAGCAUGGGACUCUUAAUCCCAGGGUCGUGGGUUCGAGCCCCACGUUGGGCG
rnacentral:tRNA from 1 species